rnacentral:snoRNA from 1 species
AAAGAAGCAAAAUGAUGAGUAAUACUUGCCUGAGCCAAAGUGAGUGAGCUGUGUGUGUGUGUGCAGUUGUGUGAUGAUUGUUUGUGAGAACUGUGUGCCUUAUAAUUGGGCAGUGAUAGCCAAACUGAUAAGAUCUGAUUGCUUC